rnacentral:rRNA from 1 species
ACGGAGGGUGCAAGCGUUAUCCGGAUUUAUUGGGUUUAAAGGGUCCGUAGGCGGACUUAUAAGUCAGUGGUGAAAGCCUGUCGCUUAACGAUAGAACUGCCAUUGAUACUGUAAGUCUUGAGUAUAUUUGAGGUAGCUGGAAUAAGUAGUGUAGCGGUGAAAUGCAUAGAUAUUACUUAGAACACCAAUUGCGAAGGCAGGUUACCAAGAUAUAACUGACGCUGAGGGACGAAAGCGUGGGGAGCGAACAGG